rnacentral:rRNA from 1 species
UACGGAGGUGGCAAGCGUUGCUCGGAAUCACUGGGCGUAAAGGGCGCGUAGGCGGGGAGGUAAGUCGGGUGUGAAAUCCCUCGGCCCAACUGAGGAACUGCGCCCGAGACUGCUUCUCUUGAGUCCCGGAGAGGAAGAUGGAAUUCCUGGUGUAGCGGUGAAAUGCGCAGAUAUCAGGAAGAACACCCGUGGCGAAGGCGGUUCUCUGGGACGGUACUGACGCUGAGACGCGAAAGCGUGGGGAGCGAACAGG